AGUAACACGUGGGCAACCCACCUCUUGUUCCGGAAUACCCCGGGGAAACCCCGGAUCAAUGCCGGAUGAUGUGCUGCGCUGAAGGGCGCGGUACUAAAGAUAGCUUCGGCCUUCGACAGGAGACGGGCCCGCGUCCCAUUAGCUUGUUGGCGGGGUAACGGCCCACCAAGGCAACGAUGGGUAGCUGGUCUGAGAGGAUGAUCAGCCACACUGGGACUGAGACACGGCCCAG
rnacentral:rRNA from 1 species